UCAAAUUAACGUCCGAUGUCAUUUUGGAAAUGAUUUCGUAGGCGUGGGCACGAAUACGAAGCUUGAAGGAGUUGUGGAAUUAGUUCGAACGAUUUUAUUUCGAAAACGAACGUUAUUUAGGGGGUCUUAAAAAGUGACUUCUUAUACGUACAGAAUUUGGGAAAACUUUCUUCAUGAAAGUUGUAGAGCUCGUCGAUACGAUCUCGUGCGUAUGUUGAACGCAAUAUUCGGAGUUUGUAUGAAUAAGUUAUGAAUAUUUGAAAAUCGGGAUUUUUUUUCUAUAAAUAUGGAGAAUUUCUGGAAUUUUUCUUAAAUCCCAAAAUUUCCUAUUCUUUCUAUUUUCUCCCCCGGUUUUCUCUCUUCUCUCUCCUCUCCCCCGACCUUUUUCUCUUCUUUCUGGGCGUUCUUCCUCUGCCAGCAGCGCCACCGUCCGGCCACCUCAAGCCGCUCUCGAGGUGUCCACGGCUUCGCCUCGACGUCGUCUAGCUACUGGACGUGACCACUUUCCCCGGAACGGCCUCAAAUCCGGCAAACCGGAGCUGCAAGGUUUGAGCCAAAAACAGUCAACGCCGGUUUUCUCCUAAUUCCGGCCACCAAAACUCACGAUCCUUAGCUCCCUGAACUCACCUCAACAUGCUGAUCAUCAUCCUAGAAGGAUCGCACCUGGAGUGACCGGAUUCACGUUCGUCGGAGCUCGGCCGGCUUUAAUUCGAAAACCACCUUCGAAUCCGAUUUUCUCGAGUUAUAGACCACCUUUUCUUGUGAUUCUUGGCCUGGUGAGUUCACCUUGAGAUUAUUAACAACUCUCAAGAAGGGAUCGAGGCCUGAGGUUGAAGUUUUUACGUCGGAAUUCAAGCUCGCCGGAUUCUGGAAAAUUUCCGACCACGAAGACUUUCGAUCAAGAUAUCGCGAGCUGUAGUGCAUCGUUUUGAUUGAUUCUUUUUCCAGUGGGUUCCCCUUGAUGUUGUUAACAACUCUCUAGAAGGCAUCGAGGCCUGAAAUUGAAUCUUUGACGUCGAAAUCGAGCCUUGCCGGAUUCUGCAAAAUUCUGGAAUUUUUCCGACCACCGAAGCUUUCGAUCGGUAUAUCUCGAGCUACAGACCAUAUUUUUCUGUGAUUCUUGAACCAGUGAGUUCUUCUUGAGUUUCUUAACAACUCUUCAGAAGGAAUCGAAGCCUUAAAUUGACGUUUUUACGUCGAAUUGGAGCUCGCCGUUUUCUGCAGUUUCUCGCCGGUUUCUGGAAAAUUCCGGCCACCUUCAUACUGUUCAAGGUGAUUGACGGUUUGAGUUGGCGGACGAUUGUGAAUCGUAUUUUGAGCUGUUAAGAAGACGCAGCGGGAUUAGAGCGGGUAAUCCUACAGGUCAGGAGAACCAGGACGGUGAUCGGGCUGCUUAGAGUAGUGUUAUGUGAAUUACAGCAUUAUAUUGUGAGGUUUGUUAUGCUCAUUUAGAGCUUUACGAUUUUACUUUGUAAGAGUGAAUUGUAAUAAUUAACUCGAGGUUUUUCGAGUUUUGUGUUGA